rnacentral:misc_RNA from 1 species
AAGUCGUAACAAGGUUUCCGUAGGUGAACCUGCGGAAGGAUCAUUAAAUGAUACAUGGACAUUCCAGUUCCUGUACACCCAACCUGAGUACCUUCUCCUGUUGCUUCCGUGGGGCAGCGAACGGUCAGGUUUUUCCACAUGACUGCUGCUGGCUGGAAAGUUCCCCAUGGCGAUUGCACGCUGUGGAGACCCCACGGGAGGACCCACACAAACCCUGAAGCGAUUGAUCUCUGUCCGAUGCGAAGCUUCUUUGCAAAAAGCAAAACUUUCAACAACGGAUCUCUUGGUUCUC